AUGAGCUAAAUCCCUAAUUUCCCUAAGAUCCUAAAUCCCAAUUUUCCAUAUUCUUCAGUUCUUCUCUGCGAAACUCUACGUCUACGGAGUGCGACUGUGCGAGUGAGAGUGAGUCAGUGAGCCGUUGGACGCCGGACGAGGUGAAGAGAUUGGACGCUGUCGGACGCCGGACGAGGAAACAAGGAAAUGUUUGGCUUCUCAAACCGAACCGAAUUAAAUCUUAGCUAAAAUUGAAAAUUUUCAAGCCGAAACUGUAGCAAACUACAAUGCUAAUCUGAUUGAUUUCAUUUUCAACCAAAAAAAAAAAAAAAAAACCGAAAUGCCUACCCCUAUCUCUGGGUCUCGUGACACAAUGCUAUGGACUCAAUUCUACAAGCAUAGAUUUGCUAAUUAGGUUUGUAUAGAGCAUUUUCAAGAAGGUCUGCAAGCGUGCCAGGAAGGUUCACUUGAUCCAUUUUGCCGAAAAUUAUUUCAGUGCAGCUUGGUAAAAAUGAAGAAGGGAGUUCAUCCUCAAAUGCAGUGGAUAUCGUAUGUGACCCAGAGUGGCAGAUUGAUGCCAGUUAUGAUGACUAAGAUACACCAGGUUGGCAAGGUUUAUCACUUCAGAGCAAGGCGUCAGAUGGCUGAGAGCAUUGGUCAAAUUGCCAAGUUCAAACGUCGAUAUGAGAAGAAGGAAGAGGAGACCGAGCAGGAGAAAUGAAUGGUUUUGCUAUUGUGAAAAUUAGAUAAUAACAAUACACUACAUUGCUCUAUUUCCAUGAUUUGAACAUUGAUUGUUUAAGACUAGCAGUUUGCCCGUCAGAUAUUCUGAUAUCUUGGAAGGAUUUAGGCAAUUUUGUUUGAUGACCUGA